CUGCAAGUCGAGCGAGAAAGGGGAGCAAUCCCCCGGUAAAGCGGCAGACGGGUGAGUAACACGUGGGUGAUCUGCCCUCGAGCGGGGAAUAACAUCUCGAAAGAGGUGCUAAUACCGCAUAACAUCCGGGAGUCCGAGGGCUUCCGGAUCAAAGGUGGGGAUCUUCGGACCUGCCACUCGAGGAGGAGCCCGCGCCUGAUUAGGUAGUUGGUGGGGUACUGGCCUACCAAGCCGACGAUCAGUAGCCGGCCUGAGAGGGUGAACGGCCACACUGGAACUGAGACACGGUCCAGACUCCUCCGGGAGGCAGCAGUGAGGAAUUUUGCGCAAUGGGCGAAAGCCUGACGCAGCAACGCCGCGUGGACGAUGAAGGUCUUCGGAUCGUAAAGUCCUGUCGAGUGGGAAGAAAAAUGCGGGGGGUAACACCCUUCGCAUUCGACU
rnacentral:rRNA from 1 species